GGCUCCGUGGCGCAAUGGAUAGCGCAUUGGACUUCUAGGCUUAAGUGUAGUGAUUCAAAGGUUGUGGGUUCGAGUCCCACCGGAGUCG
rnacentral:tRNA from 1 species